rnacentral:lncRNA from 1 species
UUUGUUUUACCUGCUCAGUGUUCUGAACUCCUUCCUUUUCACUACUAAGCAUUCUCCAUGAAGCCACACUUCAUUUUGUCAUUGUGAGGUUGAUGGACAUCUAGGGCAAAUCUAACUUCUAAAGACCAAUUCUUACGAGGUGUCAUGGUCAAGCAGAGGCCAUGGCCGGCACUGGUCUAGGUGGCCCAUGGCCCAUUUGGGGGCCUUGGUGGGCCUCGAGGAAGGGCAGGUGCUGGUCAGGGAGCCGGGUCGCUAGGCAGCAGGUGGGUGUCACCCCAGUCCACGCUGCUGGGGUGCCUGGCCUGAUGCAGGCUGUGCCUGAGGGAGACAGAAGCAGCAGAGUAGGCUGGCCGGCCUCCCCAGCCCCACCACAAGCAGGAGCUUCAGAGACAGAAGGAGCACCUGCACCCCCUCACCUGCCCUCCAGGGCCUGGCCUGGCCCUCCCAGCUCAACUCCAGGGUCUGUACGCUCUGGGGCUGGAGCUUAGUGGGACUGUGGCCCCCCUCAGCCCUUUCUGCAUUUGAGUGGAAGCCAGUGUGCGAAGCAGAUCAAAAUGGAUGUGCUUGUUUUUCCUUCAGUAAGAACAGGGAGUUGAGCCUGUCCCAACAUGGCCAGCAGCCCCUGGAGGGCCAACAGACUUCACGAGCAAGGAAGGCCGGGAGGUGACCUGCUGACCAGAACUUACUUGUGCCCCUCCCCCCCGCCCAAAACCCCCAACAUUCUGGUUUUCACAGCCCCACCCCAGCCACCUGGAACAAAUAGUGUCUAGGAGUAGCCCUCAGGGUUGGCCGCGCAGACUUCUUGCCCUGGGAUGAGGCUGGCCUCCCCAGGCGAGGCAGCCUGGGCCACAGGGGAACGUCUCUGCCUCGCCCACCCUCCUGAUCUCUCCAUCAGACAAGCUGAGGCCAGCCAGGCUCCACCCUGGCAGGUUGCAACAGAUGGUCUGAGUGUGUGUGAAGUAACUGGCCUCUCUACUUUCUUCAAUAAGUAAUUAAGAUCAAAAGCCCAGAGAAAAACAACAGAGGUUUGCGGCAGAAGUGGCCAAUGUCGGGCCCAGAGUCCAUGCUCAAGGCUGGAAGCCCAUCCUGGAUGUGCUGCACUCGGCAGUCCUAGUGUAAUUCUGCAGGGCCUGGCCCCUGCCAGGGUCUGAGCUCUCCAGCCUGUGGCAUCUACUCCCCUCCAAGCCCACCCCAGUGUCUCAAUUGGAGAGACAGGCCCUCAUGGUCCCCACUCUGGCCCAGCCCCCUCUGCACACAGCUGGCCGAGCUCUGGGCCUCUCCAUGCUGUGGCCCUGGUGAUGGCAGAGCCUUGGGAUGUCUCUGUCCAUGUGGUCACAGGACAUGUGUGUGGCAGCAGGGCCAUGGUGGGGUGGGAUGCUGUUCCAAGGCCCAGAACCAUUCUGUAAGAAACCAGCACAGCGCUGCAAGAAAGGGGGUCCUAGGGGACACAGGCCACACAGGUGUGCUUUGAAAAAUGGCAAUUAAGGUCAAAGAGCAGGAAGUCCACAGGACGGGCCAAGGCCAAGGCUCCCGCUGGCCAUGGGGAAGCCACCUCCAGGGCAGUCCCAGGGACUGAAUUGGAAGUUGUCCCAAGUCACUUCAGGUCCAACUGGGACAGCAGAGGUAACCCCCCUGCACCCUCAUGGGGCAGCUUCUUUGGGUCCUAAAUGUGGACUCAGAGGUGGAAACGGUCUGUGUCCCCAGGUCCUGCAGACAUUCGCUUUGUCUGGGAGAAGAAUGGGCGAGCUCUGGAGACCUGUGUCCCUGUGCAGACCCAUGCACUGCCCGAUGGCAGGGCCCAUGCACUCAGCUGGCUGCAGGACGCCAUCAGGGAAAGCGCUGAGUAUCGCUGCUCUGUCCUCUCCUCAGCAGGGAACAAGACUUCGAAGGUGCAGGUUGCUGUGAUGAGACCUGGUAAGUGAUUCCCAUGCCCACUGUUACCCUUUUAUGAGGUAAUUUUUCACUAUUUACAAUGGCAGUGAAAAAAACAGCUGGAAAGCAUGCUUGCACGGUGGCAUUCUGGGUUUGGGUUUUAUUGGCUUUCCAUUGAGAAAGGUGGCCAGUGGGCAUCAAGGGUGCCAUAAAGGCCCACAGAGCUUUGACCUGGGGACCCUGCUUGUUUUCCAGAAGUGACCCACCAGGAGAGGUGGACCAGAGAGCUCUCUGCCUGGAGGGCUGUGGCUGGGGAGCACGACCGGAUGAUGCAGAGCUGGAGGAAGGCGUGGGAAAGCUGUAGCAAGGACACCCUGUAGCCACCAGGAAGGAGUCCCUGACACCGACCUCAACCCCAACAAGACCCUGCUGCCACUGACCACAGCCACCCCCGGAGAAGGCCUGGUCCCCCACAACUGUGAACUGUCUUGCCCAAGCCUGCUCUGAACACAGCCAUUGGGCCACCACCUGAUGGGCAGAGGCGGGACAGUGGAGAAGCCUGGAACCCAAGUGGGCCUGUGACAGGAACUAAGACUUAAAAAAUUAGGUGCUUACCUGGGACAGUAAGUUCUGUCUGGCACAAGCAGGUAACCAGGAUGGCUAACAGGCUUUGAUAGCUGCUCGUGAACUAAAACAGCAGGGUGUGUGCAGGUUCCUCCUCUACGGUCAGGCAGCAGGCUCUGAAGGCUGAUCCUACACCGUCCCAGUGACUCCCCUUGACAGAGUGCCCCCACCCCCUAAUAGCCAACAGGGUUAGCAUGGCCAGCACAGAUCGCUGCUUUUAUUGAUGCAAAUCAAGCCUGCUGCUUCUCCUCCCUGCAGACUUAGCCAAGGAACUCCAAGAUGCAUGACUGGGACAAGAAAAGGUGAGACUCCACAUGGAAAUGCCUUGCCCUAAACCUUGAAUGACUGUGAGAUGCGAUCUGGGAGUGCAUCUGUCAAGUCUUUGUGUUUUCUUCACUAACCUCAGAAUACUGGGCUCUAUUUUAUCAAGCGCUGCAGUUUAUGCCUCUGUCCCGUCAAUGCUCAGCUUCUGCAACAGGACACCAAACUUGAUGCAGAAAGCCAAAUAGGUCAAUUAUGCAAAUCUCCUGGUGCCAUAUUAAAUUUCUUGACGAUGG